ACCUGAGUCACUUGGAAGCAGCCCCACACCCGCCAUCCCCCAAGAGCCUGGAGGACACACGGCUAGUCGCUCACUCACCCACCCUCACGCCUGGAUUCUAGACUGCAAGGUCAUUGGGCAUGAUGCCAGUGUGCUUGGAACGGCGAGCUAGAUGGGGGCUAAGAAUGGGGCGACUGGCCUAAAACAUCCCAAGAAUCCUGUGGCCACAGCAUGGUCCCCUCAGCAGGAAAAACUGGGUGAGCUGCAAUGUCGCCUCUUCCUGGCUGUGUGAUCUUGGUCAAAUUGCUUAGCGUCUCUGAGCCUCACCAGUAAAGUGGGAAUAACAACAAUAUGUAGCUCGUAAGAUUGCUGUCAUUAUUCACCCAGACUUUAAUUCAUGGGAAACAUUUGGCAUCAAGCCUGAAAGAGAUAGUAAACGCCUCCGAGUCAAGCUAUUCUUAUGAUUCUAGGUAGAAUGUGGCCAGGUUGCAGAAAGCUCCAGAUGCCGGUGUAAGGAGUUGGCGCUUUACCCUGUGGAGUCAGAGCCUGGAUGUUUUUUUGAGCAGAGGAGGAACACAAGGAAAGCAGCCAGUCAGCGCCUCGCCAGUCCCUGCAGCAUUGGAGCCGGCGCAGGUUUCAUGUCCUCUGUGAUUGCAGCCCUCGGCUCCAGCAUUGGAAGCACAGCAGAAAAUCAGAUUUUUGGUCUGGAUCCAAAACAGAAAUAUGACACCCCAUAUACGGUCAGUGUGUAUGUGUUUCUCUAAAAGAAUCACUUAACCUAAUUUUCUGAGCAUCAACUCCAAAUGCCAUGUAGACCAAGUGGAAAAAAAAAAAAAUUCACCCAAGUACAAAGGGGAGCUCUUGCUCUUCACCUUAAACAGCCCAUGAAGCUUUUUAGCAAUUGACGGGUUCCUCUCCCUCUCGCUGCUCUGUUCUCUAAGCCCGCAGGAAGGAAGAUCGCCUGAAAAAAUGUCCUUGUGGUGUUAGGGCGAGGACGGUGGGGUCAUGGGGAUGUGAGCCUCGGCUGACAACUCAGGAAAAAGGGACACUUUUCGGUGGCCUCUGAGGACCGCUCCCAGGCACUGCUGAAGAUCACAGGGUCUGGGAUAGGGUAGGGGUCCAGGCAGCUGCAAACGCCUGCACAUCAUCUGGUGCUGAGGCUCCCGGGAUGCUUCUGCUCCUGCUGUUCUCCCCAUCCUCACACCACUCCACUCAAUUAUCCCAGCAGGGGACUGGGGGGGCACCUUGACUCAAAUUUCACCGAGACUAUUCAUGGUGGCGAGGAGAGAGGAAAUUAGGGGGCUGGUGGGAAGGAGGGAGAGAUGCUGGGUUCCCAGACACCCCUCUAAUAUUCACUUUA
rnacentral:lncRNA from 1 species